UACAUGUAAACCAAGAACAAGCUUGUCAAUUUAUUAAUUUUGUGACAUCUAUCUUUAACCUGCUUUGUGGUUCUCCAUCUAUUUUUUAUGGUAACUUGAUUGUACUCCUUCUGCACAUCUGUCCAUAUAUGGUUUCGCUUAGCAAAUUAAACUAAAAUCUUAUUUAUUGGUUAUGGCAUCCUCCUGUUUAAUACUGGUAUGGAUGUAUAUAUAUCAUAUGUGAUCUAGAAUGCAUGUCUGAGCAUAUUGGUUUGGAAAUUCCAUAUUGUCUCUAACUUGUCCUAAUAGUAUUCAGUUAGAAAAAAAUGUGUGCCAUAUAUAUGAAAGGAACACAUGUGGGAAGGUUCAUGUUUAUGUAAUGACCCAUGCUGUCCAGAUCAUUGCACAUUGGAUCAAAAUUUAGCUCGGUAAUUCUCCACAUUAGUAGUUUUAGAGGCCAGUCAGUCUAGCACCAACAGCCAAUACACCAAGCAGAAUCAAAGUUGUCCCAGUUCAGUGGUAUUCGUCAAUUAAAAGCAUCGAUGAAUUAGCAAUAAUUACUCUAGGAAGGGAUGAGUUAGAAUUUUGAAUCAGACAACAGGGAUGAUGGAAACAGAUCGCAGACAAGAGCUCACUCGACUCACAAUCUAUUUAUCCAAGAAUUCUUUUUUGUGUUUCUUAUUUUCAUAUGGUUAAGUACCUUUGUGUUUCUCUAAAAUGGGUUCAGGUUCUUUCUUCUAGCCCAUGCUGCAGUCUAUCCUUUUUUGUUUUCUUUUUGUUAUUUGAAAACAACAGACAAGAACAGUUUGUCUUGUCUACCACCGUGACUUUUUCUACUGAAACAUUAUUAGGUGCAUUCACUGUUGGUGUGCGGUUUGCCAAUAAUGUGCAUGGAGGGAUACAGUUUAUUGACGGGGCAAGAAUGAGUUCUUGCCAGUGAGGUGCUAGCUUUCACCCUUCUCUCUCCAUUAAACUAUUUUAGCCAGCUGUAGAAAUUCUGCCUGUAUUUUUCUAAGAUGCAAUCAAUUGAAAGACUAGCAAACUAGCCAUGUAGCCAUGCUUUAUUCUUGUUCUUGUCUUGUUUUCCUUAUGUAUUAAUUCCUUAAUUUGUAAUGCACAUGAUGAAGGCUGAUAUCUAGGCAAUCUCUCUUAAGCUUUGGUAAGCUUACAUACUUUUGCUAUGGAUCCUUUCGAAUCAGUUACAAGGUAACACUUUUUUUGCCUUGCAUGUCGGCAUUGUGCACAACUUAAUGGUACGUACCUGGACGAACUUCUAAUCACCACGGUUACUUUUUUAGUGGAACCAUAAACUGCUAUACUGUUUUGAUCAAAUUGGUGUUGUCAGCAUUGUAUGGCUGCAAUUAAAAGUUGAAGUUCGUAUUGAAGUGAUUGGCAUGUUAAUUUGACGUGCAAUCUAAAAUUUACCUAAAAGUCACACUGUCACGUGGAUGAUCUCCAGAGAUGGUACAAAGAAACAUGAUAUCAUGUUACUCUAAACUGUAAUUUAAAUAUGGUCCUCAUGUUUUCCUGUUAGCAGGUGUUCCAAUUGAAGUCAUCCAGAGAGCUGACAUUGUUUUGGAGGACAUUCAUUCCAAGAAACCUACAAGGCGUGUGAUCAGUGAGAAAUUACCAACAACAGACAAGAGGAGUACCAAGUGUAUGACUUGGUGUGCAAUGAUAUUUAACGACAAAGAAUAUCUAUUCUGAUGUUACAUAUAGACUGAUGGAAAAUAUGGUAAUGGUGCUGCUCUAAAUAGUUGUUUCCCUCUUUUACCAAAAUAAUAUCAUGCUUGAGCUUCUGUUUGCAGAUGCCAAGAAAGAUGACCCUCUAGGUUUACAACAUCUUGCACUGUGUCAUGCGUGUUACCGGCCAAACGACAACACAAUGGAGUACGGCGACGGCAAGAACUACCUCUGCAGGAACCGGUUGAACGAGUACUUUGACGACGCGUGGGUGGAGCAGACCUGGUGGGCGGACAAAUGAGACUGCGUCGUCGUCCAGCACGAGCACCCCUCGCGCGACGUCGACUACGACGAUGAAGAUCUGGCUGUGCCUGUAACCCCAUGCCAAUCCAAGGACGACGAGCACCAACGGGACCAGGCGAGCGGCGACCAGGGGACAACUGUAGGCCUCCCCCUCUUUCUCGCCUCCACUCACCCGCCACCACCCCCAACGGCGAGGGAGUGAGAGAUCGACAACAUCUCAGGGCCUAGCAGGGCAGCUGCAUUGCGCUAUGGCGGCCAUGGCCGAUCUGUACGACGAGGAUAAGGGCCCAUCGCUAAAGAGCCAGCAGUCGCGCCCUGGCCUCCACCUCAAGCCCACCAUUGAGAUCUUUAAUUAUUAGAUCUUCAUGCUUAUUUUGAUUAUACACUACCUUGGUUAAUUUUCGAUCAUCUCCAUGGGUACAUUUUUUCUUAGUUGCUUAAACUAGCACUAUUUCGCACAAAUUGUAUUAGUACAAGAUUUGAUGUAAAA